GAGUUUGAUUCUGGCUCAGGAUGAACGCUGGCGGCGUGCCUAACACAUGCAAGUCGAGCGCGGUUGUGCUUAGUAUUGAGUGUUUUAUUGAUAUAAAACAUUGAAUUCUAUGCACAACUGAGCGGCGGACGGGUGAGUAACGCGUGGGUAACCUGCCCUAUACACAUGGAUAACAUACUGAAAAGUUUACUAAUACAUGAUAAAAUAGUUUUUCGGCAUCGAAGAAUUAUCAAAGUGUUAGCGGUAUAGGAUGGACCCGCGUCUGAUUAGCUAGUUGGUGAGAUAACUGCCCACCAAGGCAACGAUCAGUAGCCGACCUGAGAGGGUGAUCGGCCACAUUGGAACUGAGACACGGUCCAAACUCCUACGGGAGGCAGCAGUGGGGAAUAUUGCACAAUGGGCGCAAGCCUGAUGCAGCAACGCCGCGUGAACGAUGAAGGUCUUCGGAUCGUAAAGUUC
rnacentral:rRNA from 1 species